UACAGAGGGGGCCAGCGUUAUUCGGAAUUAUUGGGCGUAAAGAGCUCGUAGGCGGCUUGUCACGUCGGGUGUGAAAGCCCGGGGCUUAACCCCGGGUCUGCAUUCGAUACGGGCAGGCUAGAGUGUGGUAGGGGAGAUCGGAAUUCCUGGUGUAGCGGUGAAAUGCGCAGAUAUCAGGAGGAACACCGGUGGCGAAGGCGGAUCUCUGGGCCAUUACUGACGCUGAGGAGCGAAAGCGUGGGGAGCGAACAGG
rnacentral:rRNA from 1 species